ACAGGGCAUGACGGUGAACGCCUGUAAGCCCAGCUCCUGGGAAGUCUGAGACUAGCAGCUCUCUUGGGCUCUGACGUUCUGAGCUGCAGUGGGCUAUGCAAAUUGUGUCUGUGUUAAGUUUGGCAAUAAUAAGGUGAGAGCCUAGGAAUGGGGUGCUACCAGGUCGCCUAAGGAGAGGGGAACUGGUCAGAAAUGGGGCAAGUCAAAGCUCCUGUGACAUCAGUGGUGGGAUUGGGCCGAGGAGUUGCUACUAUACUAGCCUGGGUGAGAGGGGGAGAUUCAGUCUUU
ensembl:misc_RNA Metazoa_SRP Metazoan signal recognition particle RNA